rnacentral:rRNA from 1 species
UGGAGCAAUCCAUGAGUAGAGUGGCAAACGGGUGAGUAACGCGUGGGUGACCUGCCUUAGAGUGGGGGAUAACGCUCCGAAAGGGACGCUAAUACCGCAUAACAUCCUGCCUUUUAAGAGGUGGAGAUCAAAGCCUGGGACCGCAAGGCCAGGCGCUCAAAGAGGGGCCCGCGUCUGAUUAGCUAGUUGGUGGGGUAAUGGCUCACCAAGGCUUCGAUCAGUAUCCGGCCUGAGAGGGCGGACGGACACACUGGGACUGAGACACGGCCCAGACUCCUACGGGAGGCAGCAGUGGGGAAUUGUUCGCAAUGGGCGCAAGCCUGACGACGCAACGCCGCGUGGAGGAUGAAGAUCUUCGGG